UAGACUAUACUUUCAGGGAUCAUGUCUAUAGUUUAUUACUAGAGAAGUAUCUCUGAAUGUGUUGAGUACCCAAAACCAUGAGGAAGAGAAGCUAGCUGCUCAUUUCCCCUUGAUGAUAGUUCUUUUCCUCUUUGGGGGAUUAAGAGACAAGAGACACACUGUCUGAGGGGC
rnacentral:snoRNA from 1 species